rnacentral:ncRNA from 2 species
CGGCGACGCUCUGGAAAGCAGUCUGUUCGCAAGAGCAGGCUCACCGAAGGAGCAACCAUGCGUGCCUUAAGGGCGCAUGGGAAAUCUCUCAGGUUCUCGGACAGAGGGGGCGCG